rnacentral:misc_RNA from 1 species
AACGCACCUUGCGCCCCUUGGCAUUCCGAGGGGCACACCCGUUUGAGUGUCGUGAAAUCAUCAAAACCUUUUCUUUGAUCCUUUUUGGUCAGGAAAAGGAUUUUUGGACUUGGAGGUUCCAUGCUUGCUUUUGCUUAUGAAAGUGAGCUCCUCUCAAAUAAAUUAGUGGGGUCUGCUUUGCUGAUCCUUGAUGUGAUAAGAUGUUUCUACAUUUUGGAUUUAGCACUGUCCCUUGGACGCCUGCUCCUAACUGUCUUUUGGACAAUGAUGGUGCUUCGGUUUGCCGCCAUUUAUGUUGGCGGGAGGCUGAACCCACCAAAAAAAAAACCUUGACCUCAAAUCGGGUGAGACUACCCGCUGAACUUAA